AGUGUCAAAUGCAGACAAAUUUCACAAUCGGAUGAUGAAUGAUAAAUUCUGGCAUUUCCCUGUCCACGACAAACGUAUGCUACACGAACUGCACUUUUGCAACUAAUUAUGUCCGCUCAUUAUUAACCCCGCUGUCGAGUCAACAAGAGAAGUCAUUCUUGACAUCCCAGAAAAGGAAAAGGGAACGGAAAAGCGAGAGGGCAGUGGAAAAAACCAAGCAAACAUGCUUUUGUCAUUUGCGCAAAUUAAUGCACGACAGUUGGGAAAGAGUAGGGACGAGGAAAGCGAGGGGCUUACAAAAAGCAGAUGCUGCUUAUUUGGAUAGCUCUUAGGGAAGGUCAACGGUAUAUGGCUAGUCUCGUCCUUUUUUAAUUUAUUGCCUCGGCAACACGAGGAAGCAAAUCCUUGAGUCGUACCAAAAUUAUGACGUGAAAAUACUUUUCUGAACUGAAAGUAAAAUAUUUUUCAAAUAUUU
rnacentral:lncRNA from 1 species